rnacentral:misc_RNA from 1 species
AUGUCGAAAGCGAGUUCGUGCGGCGUCGACGAAGCUUCUCGGUAGCCGUUGAACUAUUCGGUCGUACCUGUUGCCUUUGUAUGUGUUUUCAUGCCUAGCGGUGCGGCUCGGCUCCUACCCGGCGUAUCUGCACUCGAGACGCGUCCCUUUGUUGGGAUAGUCGAGACGUGUAUUUCGUUGGGCGGUGCUGGGUUUAGCUAACGUGACGGCGUAUGAGUGGUAAUUGGGUUGUAUUCGACGGCAGGCUCCGUGCUUCGGCAUCGAACUGUCGUCUCGUACCCCGCUUCAUCGACGCGUCAAGAUUCGUCCUGCGCGCAAGAUGGGUUUCUGUUUUGGCUACCUAUUGCGAAGGAAUGUUGCCUCUCGUUGUCCCUUUCCUCCUCUUGCCGGCCUUGCCGGCGGGAGGACGACAUCGUGGCGGUGCUCGUGUCCCGGACGAGCCGCGCUCGUCGCGGUGCAGUUCCGGUGCUCGAGUUUCCGGCCGACGUCUCGGAUGCGGAACGCUGAAGGGGCGGUGGGUCUUUACGACCUCCGAUCGUCCGAACGAAGCCUUGUCGCUUGAUGCGUACGACCGUCGUGCCCGUCGCGAGCCGUCGACCGUCAAGGUCGUCGGUCUCGUGCGGCGCCGGCGUCGAAGAGGAAUGC